UAUUAUCGUUAUGUGUAAAUC
rnacentral:piRNA from 1 species